GACGGAAGGUGCAAGCGUUGCUCGGAAUUACUGGGCGUAAAGCGCGUGUAGGCGGCCCGAUAAGUCCGCUGUAAAAGUCCAGGGCUCAACCCUGGAAAGCCGGUGGAUACUGUCGGGGCUCGAGUCCGGAAGAGGCGAGUGGAAUUCCGUGGUGUAGCGGUGAAAUUCGUAGAUAUUGGGAAGAACACCGAUGGCGAAGGCAAUCCCCUGGACCUGUACUGACGCUCAUGCACGAAAGCGUGGGGAGCAAACAGG
rnacentral:rRNA from 1 species